GACAUCCUUCUAUUCCGCUAUUGAUUAGUAAAGGCGAUUUAUUCAUUCUAAAAUCAUGCAGGAGGACCCCCCUUUGCCUCACGGACAAAUAGCAAAGCGUGGGAAAGAGGUGGCAGGACGAGGUGUGGGCGGUACAUAGAAAUAAGCAACCUCGGCUGGAAUGAGUAUGUGCGGGGAGGGCGUGGCGUGGAAGGAAGAGCCACAGGGAAGGGAGUAGUAUGGUAGCCAGUGUGGAGGUGGGGGAGCACUGGUGAACCGUGUGCAACCUUAAACUUCUUAAUACAACAUAAACACUCAGGUUAGGAUUAAUGUCAGGAUGCAGCCACCUCCAAGAAAGGGCAACUACCUUAAAGUUUGUAAGAAUCUACACAGUGAGCAAAUCUCCAAGUUACUGGCGAAGAACCAACAGGAGUGUGACUUGUUAGAGGAUAUAAGAAAUUUCACAAAACAGAGAUCCUCGAUAGAAAAGAGUUAUGGGGAGGUAAGUGGAC